rnacentral:rRNA from 1 species
UACGAAGGGGGGCUAGCGUUGUUCGGAUUUACUGGGCGUAAAGCGCACGUAGGCGGUUUGUUAAGUCAGGGGUGAAAUCCCACAGCUCAACUGUGGAACUGCCUUUGAUACUGGCAGCUAGAGUCCGGAAGAGGUAAGUGGAACUCCUAGUGUAGAGGUGGAAUUCGUAGAUAUUAGGAAGAACACCAGUGGCGAAGGCGGCUUACUGGUCCGGAACUGACGCUGAGGUGCGAAAGCGUGGGGAGCAAACAGG